rnacentral:rRNA from 1 species
UACGGAGGAUGCAAGCGUUAUCCGGAAUGAUUGGGCGUAAAGCGUCCGCAGGUGGCAAUGUAAGUCUGCUGUUAAAGAGUCUAGCUCAACUAGAUAAAAGCAGUGGAAACUACAUAGCUAGAGUACGUUCGGGGCAGAGGGAAUUCCUGGUGUAGCGGUGAAAUGCGUAGAUAUCUGGAGGAACACCGGUGGCGAAGGCGGCAUCCUGGACCAAUAUUGACGCUGAGGAGCGAAAGCCAGGGGAGCAAACGGG